CUGGAGGCUGGUCCUUGUGGUCAGCCACAGGCUGCAGAGGAAGAGGGAGAAGCUGACCUAAUUAGCUAUGCCUAGAGCUGCCUGGUGACUGUGGUGACAGAAGGAAUAUCUUUUCAGAGACCUCCAGGCCUGGGGUGUGGCUUCUGAACUGGGCCAGGCAUCUCGUGAAGCCCAGACAUUGGGGAUGUGAACCUAGAAGCACAUCUAGGUCUAAAGUCCCCGCCUGUCUCUGGUCUUUCUUCUGAACCACACAGAGAGGCUGUGUUCACGAUGCUCUCUACGAGUGUUUGGGGUGAUCUGAAUAACUCGGUCUUGAGAACCCGUUGAGGACGCAGUGACGGCAUCCUGUGUGCUUUGCUGUCCUGAGAGUUGCUCAGACAGUGUGACGAAAAUGUCUCCCUUGAGAGGAGAUGGAUGGAACCAGGAUCCCGCAGGACCUUAGGUUCUCCACUUGGGAAGGCUUAUGCCAACCACAGAAUCAAAGGGACAAUGGCAAACUACCUUGAAAGCUCCAACUGUAAGUGGGAGCCGUGACCCUUCCACGAGAAGACUGGACCUCUGUCCUAGACCCAGCCCGCUAUCUCCUGACCCCCAGCCUUCGUGGACAUAAACAUUCUGACCUUAACCAUGGAAACUACAGUGUAGCCACAGAGCAGUUAGAGCUGGUGAAGUCAGCUACAUAUUCACAGCGACUCUUGCGCCCUGGGCUCUGCUCUGGAAGACUGUGGCUGAUGGCCACCGAGCACCUGCUUUGAGUCUUGCCCCAGCUUCAUCCAAAUGAGAGGAUUUAUAGGUCCUUGACAUUUGUCCCUUAAAGACUUGAAUAUUAAUUCAACAAGUUUGACUGAAAAGCACUUCUAAAAUGUGUUAGACCUGGAUGACCACAGAUUGUUCCAAAGAACGCUUGCUUCAUUGCCUCUGAACUCGAGUGGCCUCUGAGCAGGCUCCCAGGGAUCACCGUGAAGGCUGAAUGGUUCCUGCUCCAUGGUCUUUGGCUAGCUCCAAGAGCAAUUUUUCUGUGAACUUCAUAGGCAGCGGGCUAGAACAAGACAACCCUGAGAAGGGGUGGGGGUGGGGACGAUGGGCAGAGCUUGGUCCCUCUUCCAACAUAAACAGAGUCAGCAAUGUGGGCAGGGUCUGGAGCUUUUGGAGACUCAGGUCUGGAAGCUGGGCUCAAAGACUUUGUCCCUUUCCUCCCCGCUCACUGGGGGCCUUUCUCAGGAGCUUGAGGGGAGCCAGAGUACACCCGAGGACGGCCCCUGCCCAAGGGAAGCGGCCAUGAGUGCACAGUGCUGUACUGUGGAUAACAGGGCUUUUUGACAGUCUUGGUUCGGCUCCCAAGGCCGGUGACAGUGACACGAUGAUGAAUGUGCAUAAAUCCCACACCACUGACGGAGGGGAGCAUCUACGACCGGUCUGAGUAUCUAAAACCUAAGCGUUUGCAGUCUAAUUGGCAGUGAUCACAGCCAACACUUAAAGGAACAUGUAUCUUAAGUGACCAUUAGUCCAACAUCUGCAUUCUGACAGGGUCACUGAGGAGCGGGCAGUUUGUCAAAGGUCAGAGUCAUGCGAGAGCCCUAGCAAGAGAGCAAGGGGUGGGCCUGGGCCUCCUUUACCCCCCAACCCAGGACUCAGGCCCCUUGGGUGCUCCAGGCAGGCAGCAGCUUCUGCUGUUGUUCUCCCCUGCUGCAGUCCUGUGCAUUUUAAUUGCUUACACGUUCUCUUCUCAUACCCUGGGGUAAUUUUACAAAGGGCACAACUCUGACAUUCAAAAAAGAGCACAUACAUUCUAAGGCCAUUUAAAUCCCUUUGAUUAAAGAGGAAAAUAACAAUUGCGAGAGAGACGCUCGUGCUUGUGACACACACACACACAUAACACGCACACCACAUACACACACACACACACCACACAUACCACACCACACACACACACACCACACACACACACCACACCACACCACACACACACCACACACACACACACACACACACACACACACACACACACACACACACACACACACACACUCUUAAUCUUGGCUAUUCCAAACAGCCCUGAGCCAUGGAAUUUUUAACCAUUUGAACCAGACAGAAAGAAUCACCUGCCGAGGGUCACAGAAGAGAGACUCACGAGGGCCUAAAAUCAAACAGCAGUCUGGCUGUUCUUGCUUGGUGUCUUGAAAGUCAGCAGUCUGACUGAUUCUAUCUGGAAGCGUUCGCACACAACACCCAGGAGAGUGCAGAUUAGGAUUUCCCUGGGGCAGGGGUGGGGGGUCACCAAGGGUGCAGUUGGAGCACAGUCCCUGUAAGCAAAUGGAGUGGCCACUGGCAUGAGAAGAGAAGGCAAGCGAAGGGGUCGGAUGGUGGUUUGAACGCUCACUGACCAGCCAGUGACCUGAGCAGGUUGGUCACACAGGUGGGCUCACGGGGCUUUGCUUUUGUGUGUGUGUGUGUGUGUGUGUGUGUGUGUGUGUGUGUGUGUGUGUAUGUGUGUGUGUGUGUAUGUGUGUGUGCGCGCACGCCUGGGGUAUGUAUAGAAAGUCAGGAUGAAGAGGCACAGAUAACCAGAGCCACCUCUGUCCUCUCCAGGCCUCAGGACAAUAACCACAUCUCAGGAGCCAGAAAGUCUGGGGCCAACACAAAGGGAAGUGGUGGAUGGGAGGGGGUGCUGAAAAAUCUCUAUUCCCUCACAGGAGAACCGCCCACCAGCGAGCCUCGGCCUGCACAGCAGAGUCUCGGGAACACACUGUUCUCUUUGUUGGAGCAGAAAUCUGUUCAGUGUUGAUUAUGCAGGCCGAUGAGUGGGCCUCUCUCAUUUUUUCCUCUAAUCUGGAGUCCUACUCAGCGGGCACAAUCGCAGACAAACGAUCCUGGAAACAGAAUAAGCUUUCUUGCCAUCCCUUGUUCUGGAGGCACUGGGAGUGCCUGCAGUUCCAGGUAGAAACAUGCCACUGACUAGACUUCAGGACCUCUGAGUCCCAGCCAGGGGACCUCACAACAUGGAAAGAAUGCCCUUCUGACCUGCCUACAACGAUGGAAUCCGGUGCCCAGGAGAGAGCAGCAGACUGUCCUCAGAGGAAGACGUUCGUUUUCCAAACUCAGGUGAAGUUUUAAAAGCCACCACGCUAAAAGGCGUGUUCAAAACAAAUCACUCACUGCUUCUGGUUUGGGAUGUUGGCCUCCAAGGCGGUGGAUGGAAAUGUUCCUUUUCCUGACAGGGAUGUAUGCAACAGAGGUCGGCACAGGUCCAUGCAAGACUGAUUGAAUCGCAUGCCUUAGAUCUGGACUUAUUUCUGUAUAAAAGUUAUAAAAAGAAUUCUGUUUAGAGGAGUUUCAGGCCAUCUGUCAGGGUAAGGUAAGAGAUGCAGGUCAGAGAACUUUCUGGAUAAGAAUAGCAACGUUGUAAAGAUAUAAAAAUAGUUUUGCUAUUUGGAAAGGGUAACGCAAAAGAUUAGUAAAUAAAAAAAAUCUAAUUAUUUAAA